rfam:Bacteroidetes bacterium MedPE-SWsnd-G2 Bacteroidetes-MedPE-SWsnd-G2-C11, whole genome shotgun sequence.
UAUCUUUGCCGCUUGGAAGAAAAACUUCCAUAUACAUAAAAAUCAUUAAAAUAAUAUUGGAAUG